GGACAAGACAGAAUAUGAUAUUCUUCUGUUCUUCAAGCUAUAUGACCCAGAGAAAAUCGAGUUCCAGUAUGUUGGAAGGCUUUUUGUUAAGGGCAUCGGUAAGCCUGUGGAUAUCCUAACAAAACUAAAUGAAAUGGCUGGCUUUGGCCCUAAUGAAUAAAUUAAACUUUAUAAGGAAAUUACAUUUGAACCUAUUGUCAAGUGUGAACACAUUGACAAGAAACUCACUUUUCCAUCUAGUCAG